rnacentral:SRP_RNA from 1 species
GCCGGGCAUGGUGGCGCGUGCCUGCAGUCCCAGCUACUUGGGAGGCUGAGGCUGGAGAAUCUCUUGGGUCCAGGAGUUCUGGGCUGUAGUACGCUAUGCUGAUUGGGUGUCUGCACUAAGUUCGGCAUCAAUAUGGUGACCUCCCGGGAGUAGGGGACCACCAGGUUGCCUAAGGAGGGGUGAACCGGCCCAGAUAGGAAACAGAGCAGGUCAAAACUCCCGUGCUGACCAGUAGCGGGAUCGUGCCUGUGAAUAGCCACUGCACUCCAGCCUGGGCAACAUAGCGAGACCCCAUCUCU